rnacentral:lncRNA from 1 species
UAGAGUUUUGAAGCCACCCCAGGCAAGUAGUUUGCAAGCCCUAUCUCCAAAAUAACAAAAGAAAAAUGGACUGGAGGUGUGGUUCAAGCCAUGGAAUGCCUGCUUUGGAAGCACGAGCCCUGAGUUCAAAGUCCAGUCCCCCCUAAAAUAAUAAAUAAUAAAAUAAAGUUUAUGACAUAACAAUUAGAAUGAGAAUACAGAGAGAGAAAGAGACCAACUCCAUUCUCUAACCGCAGAUGAUGGGGCCUAGGGCUAGGAGAGGAUGGGAUAUAUGCACUAGGCCAGAGCUUAGGGACCAAGACCACUGAGCACAGGAUAGGAACAAGUAACGCAAUAAGGCUUGUUAGUACAGAGUCAGCAGGCCUUCUGUCAGAGUCUGCACUUUUCUCCUCUAUCACCAACUGACAGCCAAUCCAGAGACUGCCAAGCUCAUCUUGCCUUCACAAUGGUCACAGUCUCUUUUUCAAUAGCCACCACUCAUAAACAUCCAUGAACCAAGCCCUAGACACAUAGAGCGGCAGCAGUAUGUGGAGAGUGCUGCCCAACUCUUGGAUAAGACUGGAUGGUGGUGAGCCCAAACCAGUACAGAGGUGCCACUGAUUCUUGCUAGUUGCCUGUGAUUGUAUAUUUGCUCACCAUGUAGAUCUUCAAAGUCCACUGUCGUGUGGGAAUCUGACAACUUGGUUGUUUUUUAAAUGGAAGCUUCAUCCAAAAGACAAACAAAGCAAAGUUGUGAACUACAAUACUUACUAGGCUUUGAACCAGGGUCUUGUGCUUGCUAGGUAGGCGCUCUACCAUUUGAGCCACCCCACCAGACCUGAAAACAACAUCAAACUUUCAUUGCAUUUUCUUGAAAGUCAUGAAGGAGGUCCAUAGUUUGCAAUGUCGUAUUCAAAAGUCAUCAUCUUCAUCUUCCUUAGCAGCCUGUUUUCUCUAGUGUAGCCCUCUCCACAAUUUCUUCAACUUGUAGCAACUCUCCUCUUCCUCCCAACUUAGCCUGUCUUUCCAGCAAAAGGAUCCAACCAACUUACUUCCCCAAUCCAGCCCCAAGUGAU